AUUGAACGCUGGCGGCAGGCCUAACACAUGCAAGUCGAGCGAGCGUCGGACGGGUGAGUAAUGUAUGGGGACUGCCCGAUAGAGGGGGAUAACUACUGGAAACGGUAGCUAAUACCGCAUACUAUCGGAUAACCCAUAUGGGAUUAGCUAGUAGGUGAGGUAAUGGCUCACCUAGGCGACGGUCCCUAGCGGGUCUUAGAGGAUGAUCAGCCACACUGGGACGGAGACACGGCCCAGACUCCGACGGAGGCAGCAGUGGGGAAUAUUGCACAAUGGGCGCAAGACUGAGGCAGCCAUGCCGCGUGUAUGAAGAAGGACCUAGGGUUGUAAAGUACUUUCAGUCGGGAGGAGUUAACGACAGAAGAAGCACCGGCUAACUCCGUGCCAGCAGCCGCGGUAAUAC
rnacentral:rRNA from 1 species